rnacentral:rRNA from 1 species
GACGAACGCUGGCGGCAUGCUUAACACAUGCAAGUCGAACGGAAAGGCCCUGCUUUUGUGGGGUGCUCGAGUGGCGAACGGGUGAGUAACACGUGAGUAACCUGCCCUUGACUUUGGGAUAACUUCAGGAAACUGGGGCUAAUACCGGAUAGGAGCUCCUGCUGCAUGGUGGGGGUUGGAAAGUUUCGGCGGUUGGGGAUGGACUCGCGGCUUAUCAGCUUGUUGGUGGGGUAGUGGCUUACCAAGGCUUUGACGGGUAGCCGGCCUGGGAGGGUGAACGGCGACAAUAGGACUGAGAUACGGACCAGACUCCUACGGGAGGCAGUAGUGGGGAAUAUUGCACAAUGGGCGGAAGCCGGAUGCAGCAACGCCGCGUGCGGGAUGACGGCCUUCGGGUUGUAAACCGCUUCCGCCUGUGACGCAGCGUGAGUGACGGUAAUGGGUAAAGAAGCACCGGCUAACUACGUG